AGUUUAAUUUUAUUAGCCGUGUACCCGAGGGUUCCCCCAGCGCUACUGCUCCAGUAACUGGUUGCCUCAUCUGAAGUGGACACUGGCCUUUAACUUUUUUAUUGGACUAAAUCACUCACUCACCAGAAAGCGGCUAUUGUAUUGGAUCAAACUGACUGAGUGACAUUGCCCCUUGCACAACAAUCAGAGGGGGCGUGGUCUUUCUGACGACAGGGAAGUGACGUAUGCCCGCUCUCAUGAAUCGACUCCCAGCUCCUCUCAGUGAGGAUGAGAGUUUUAAUUCUCGUUCACUCCAGCAUGAUUUUGAGGAGACGACAACUACUCAUGACGGACAUCACCUCAACUGUCAAAUAUGAAGAAGUCAGCGAUCAAAAUAUGAUGUAGUUUUCUUGAUCUGCUGCAUUACAACAACAGCCCGACUGUUUACUGUCCCAUCAGGUCAGCUGACCAAUCAAUAAACAGAUUCGAUGAAGGGGUGUUGCCGUCCUGUAAAAAAAACUUCCACAGAGGAUACACCUGUGGUUCCUCGCUCCUCGUCUCCUCCAGGAGCAUUUCAGGGAUUGGAAGAUCCUCCAUGAUGGCGGUGGAGGAACGGUUUCCGGGUCACGGGAGGAGAGAGGAAGCACAAAUUAGAGCUCAUGGGAGAAGUUUGCCUUCAGGUCUUUCUGCCAGAGAGCCUUUUUUAACAGAAAUCAAACCCCUUUCCUCCAUCAGCCAAUAGCAUUAAAGUAUUAAGUAUUAAAGUUAUUGACGUUAUACAGUUUAAUUAAAUACAAAAUACUUAUUGGUUACUGUGUAUCUAAGCUACUAUAUCUGUUAUCACAUAAGAGAAAACAAAAUCUAAUAUUAAAGGUUCAAUAUGUAGAAUUGUGAAGCAAUUUACAUGUAUUAAUCGUUUUUU